rnacentral:rRNA from 1 species
AUUGAACGCUGGCGGCAUGCCUAACACAUGCAAGUCGAACGGCAGCGCGGGGUAGCAAUACCCUGGCGGCGAGUGGCGGACGGGUGAGGAAUACAUCGGGAUCUACCCUCUGGUGGGGGAUAACGCACCGAAAGGUGCGCUAAUACCGCAUGAGACCGGAAGGUGAAAGCGGAGGACCGCAAGGCUUCGCGCGAGAGGAUGAACCGAUGUCCGAUUAGCAAGUUGGCGGGGUAAGAGCCCACCAGGGCGACGAUCGGUAGCUGGUCUGAGAGGACGAUCAGCCACACUGGGACUGAGACACGGCCCAGACUCCUACGGGAGGCAGCAGUGGGGAAUAUUGGACAAUGGGGGCAACCCUGAUCCAGCAAUGCCGCGUGUGUGAAGAAGGCCUUCGGGUUGUAAAGCACUUUUAUUGGGAGCGAAAAGCGCGUGGUUAAUACCCAUGCGUGCUGACGGUACCCGAUGAAUAAGCACCGGCUAACUUCGUGCCAGCAGCCGCAGUAACAC